CUUCUACUAAAUGAAUAAAUACCACUGGAAGGUCCAAGAUCCAGGGGCCCACAUCUGCUAAGGGCUUUCAUGCCGUGUCAUCCCAUGAGGAAAGACAGAGGCAAGGAGAGUCAGAUCCAGAGAAAAGUGACACAUCUAGAUACAAAUUCUAGGAUCUUCCCGCCUUUCAGUAUCAUCACUGCUUUUCCACUUUGACACUAUAUGAACUUCUAGGUUUCAUAUGAAACAUUCUGUAUUAUUUUCAGAAAUAAA
rnacentral:lncRNA from 10 species